rnacentral:rRNA from 1 species
ACUCAAAGGAAUUGACGGGGGCCCGCACAAGCAGUGGAGCAUGUGGUUUAAUUCGAUGCAACACGAAGAACCUUACCUGGGCUCGAAAUGCAGAUGGCGAUUGCAGAGAUGCAAUUUUCCGCAAGGACGUCUGUAUAGGUGCUGCAUGGCUGUCGUCAGCUCGUGCCGUGAGGUGUUGGGUUAAGUCCCGCAACGAGCGCAACCCUUAUCAUUAGUUGCCAACGCGUAAUGGCGGGGACUCUAAUGAGACUGCCUGGGUUAACCAGGAGGAAGGUGAGGAUGAUGUCAAGUCCGCAUGGCCUUUAUGUCCAGGGCUACACACGUGCUACAAUGGUCGGUACAGAGGGUAGCAAAUCCGCAAGGUGGAGCAAAUCCCAGAAAGCCGAUCUCAGUUCAGAUUGUGGUCUGCAACUCGACCACAUGAAGUUGGAAUUGCUAGUAAUGGCGUGUCAGCUAUAACGCCGUGAAUACGUUCCCGGGCCUUGUACACACCGCCCGU